rnacentral:rRNA from 1 species
CCUACGGGUGGCAGCAGUGAGGAAUAUUGGUCAAUGGACGCAAGUCUGAACCAGCCAAGUAGCGUGCAGGAUGACGGCCCUAUGGGUUGUAAACUGCUUUUAUAUGGGGAUAAAGUGGGGAACGUGUUCCCUUUUGCAGGUACCAUAUGAAUAAGGACCGGCUAAUUCCGUGCCAGCAGCCGCGGUAAUACGGAAGGUUCGGGCGUUAUCCGGAUUUAUUGGGUUUAAAGGGAGCGUAGGCCGUUUGGUAAGCGUGUUGUGAAAUGUAGGAGCUCAACUUCUAGAUUGCAGCGCGAACUGUCAGACUUGAGUGCGCACAACGUAGGCGGAAUUCAUGGUGUAGCGGUGAAAUGCUUAGAUAUCAUGAAGAACUCCGAUUGCGAAGGCAGCUUACGGGAGCGCAACUGACGCUGAAGCUCGAAGGUGCGGGUAUCGAACAGGAUUAGAUACCCUGGUAGU